rnacentral:rRNA from 1 species
AUCGCCGCGUGUGUGAAGAAGGCCUUCGGGGUUGUAAAGCACUUUCAGUAGGGAGGAAGGUAGUGUAGUUAACACCUGCAUUAUUUGACGUUACCUACAGAAGAAGCACCGGCUAACUCCGUGCCAGCAGCCGCGGUAAUACGGAGGGUGCGAGCGUUAAUCGGAAUUACUGGGCGUAAAGCGCAUGCAGGCGGCCUGUUAAGUCAGAUGUGAAAGCCCGGGGCUUAACCUCGGAAUUGCAUUUGAAACUGGCAGGCUAGAGUCUUGUAGAGGGGGGUAGGAAUUUCAGGUGUAGCGGUGAAAUGCGUAGAGAUCUGAAGGAAUACCAGUGGCGAAGGCGGCCCCCUGGACAAAGACUGACGCUCAGAUGCGAAAGCGUGGGGAGCAAACAGGAUUAGAUACCCUGGUAG